rnacentral:lncRNA from 1 species
GAAAAUAAAAUAAGAUUAAAGUUUAACAUGUGUAAAGUCAAUUUAAAUUACAUACAAACACUUUUGGUACCACAAAACUAAUUUAUUUAUAAAAACAAAUGGAAACAUAUUAUUUUCAUAAGUUGCAGCUAUUACAAAAGCAUUCAAAGUAUAAUCUAAAUCCUAAGAUUAAUAAGGAUGCAAAGUCAUUAAAAUCAAAUCUAGUUAAUUGAUAAAGUGGAAGAAAAAGGAAAAGGAAAUACCAUGUAAAAUCCAGAGUGAA